ensembl:lncRNA
AAAAUAAAUUGUGACAGGUCAUGUAUUAAAAGUGGUAGAAUCUUAAUGGCUGACUCCACUCCAGGUGGUCAUCCUGGAUUUAUUCUUGGUUCCAGGACUCAUGAGCAGAGGUGGUACAAGCUCUUGAUUUGAGAUGAGGAGGCUCCCAGAUCGGGAGACUUGCUGAAUCCUCGGAGAAGAGCCUUCUCGGGAGAGAUGUCCUCCAAUUGGGACUCUUGUUCAGGAAAAACCUCUACUUCCUAAAUUUACUCCACCUGCAGAAGUCACCCUGCUCACAGGUGAAUCCUGGGACAGCCUGAUCACAGAAGGAAUGGAAGCGGAAGCCCGGGAAGUCACAGGCAGCUUCAACCAGAGCAGGGUCCAAGUCUUUAUACUUCAUAGACUCUGGUUCUGUGAUCCUGGGCUAGAAGAAGUUGGUACCUGCUUCUACACUGCUAAAUACAGAAUAAGCAAUGGAGGCCAGGAG